CAAAACCUACGAGGCGUUUACGAAAUCGGACUUCGAAUUUUUCAGAAAAGGUGAAGUUGGUGACUGGAAGAAUUGGUUCAGUGACGCUCAAAAUAAACUGUUUGAUGACACCUGGAAGAAGGAAACUAAAGACUUAACCUUAUUCAAAUUUAGAUAUGUUUAGAUAUGCGCAAUCAAGUACUUCCUCACAACUAUGUAAAGAAUGUAAACAUUGACAUUUAUAUUAGAGUAAGGGUGUUUCCUUUUGAUGAAAACAAAAAUGUGAUAAACCCAGUUAACUG